UACGAAGGGUGCAAGCGUUGCUCGGAAUUAUUGGGCGUAAAGGGUAGGUAGGUGGUGACAUUUGUCUGGGGUGAAAUCCCUGAGCUUAACUCAGGAAGUGCCUUGGAAACGGUGUCACUAGAGUACUGGAGAGGUUCGCAGAAUUCUUGGUGUAGCGGUGAAAUGCGUAGAGAUCAAGAGGAAUACCAGAGGCGAAGGCGGCGAACUGGACAGUAACUGACACUCAACUACGAAAGCGUGGGGAGCAAACAGG
rnacentral:rRNA from 1 species